AGCCUGCUGUUGUUACCACUGUCCUGUUUGAAAUGUAAUGAGAGAAACUGGUUAUUUUAUCAUAUGUGCAUAUUGAACCCAAGGUACUAACUAGCUAACUAACUGGAUACCCAUUAACCUUAUAACUCCUGUUGUGUGUGUGUGUGUGUGUGUGUGUGUGCAGAGAGACAGCCAGGUUCAUAUUGGAUAUGAGGAAGUUUUUUCAAAAACAGGAGCCACAUUCAGUCCAAAGAGGGAGAGAGGAAAGAGGAGAACAUGAGGAGAAAGUACAAGGUCAGGAAGAAUCAGGUAAGAAAACUGACAGGGAGUACUAACAGGCAAAACAGAAAUUGUUAAACUGGCAAAGAAAAAACCCCAACUAAUUUUACUCAUACAAUCUGGAAGUUGUGUUCUCCCUAUAUUAAAGCUGCUAUACAGAAUCUGCAAAAAAACUGGGUUGCCAGCCUGGCACUGCAUUACCAUAUUGAACUUCAGUCAGAGGAAGUCACGGUUGCCAAAAACUUUCUGAAGCUCAAGAGUGAGGCUGGUGCCAUCCCAGAUAUGUUAACAUUGUACAAUCUUCUGGAUAAUCAGAUCUUCCCCACACUGAAAACUGUUGUUCAGGUUGCCCUAACAAACCCAGUUUGCAGCUGUAGCUGUGAAAGGUCUUUUAGUGUCUUGAGUCAGCUCCAUACCUGGCUGAGAAGGACCAUGGGUCAAAGCAGACUCCAGCACCUGGCUGUGAUGUCAGUUGAGAAAGAGAUGCUUGAGAGACUUGACCACCAAAAUGUGAGAGAUUUACCAACCUCAAGAUGCUGCUCCAGCCACGCAGAGAAUCCCCCGCCGGCCCGCCCUCUCCUCCCUGUGCCGCAAGCAGCAGGCGCACCUCGCAAAUGGAGGGCACCCUUACUCCUAGCAAAUGGCCAUGCGAACACCAAUCGAUGCCUAUGCAAUCCCCAAAAUGCGCUGGCAUGAUGUCGGGGCAGCAUGGGUAUGAGCAACUUUUUUUGGAGAUGCCCGUGAUGCUGCCCCCACCACGAUGCUGCCCUGGGCAACUGCCCAUAUCAAAAACCGCUACUGGUCUUAGUUAUUGUUUUAAUUCUUUUAUUGUCCUGUCAUUGUUUUAUAUUGUUAUUAUUG